GUUAAUAAAGUGAAUGGAAGCUGUGCACCAGGUAGGUAUCUGAAACAGAGGAGGUGAGCCAUGAAGGCUGCUUAAGUACCAAUGCUCUUGAUUGGAUCCAAUCCUAGACAUGCCCACAACCAUUGCCACACUUUGGUGCUAGGUUAGUUUUGAAAAAACUGAGUUGCAAUUCAUUUAAGUCGAUAUUUUUGAUAAACAGAUUAAUUGUAUCGUUGCGUUUAUUUUGAAAACAAUUAUCAUUUUGGAAAUGCGCCCUAGGUCUAACUCAUAUUGUUAUCAGAAAAAUAUAGGGUAUAAAAUAAAAUAAUCCCAAAAAAAUAAUUAAAAUGGCCUUAUUACAACCCAAAACCAAAUAAUAAUAGUAAUAAGAUAAAACUUAUAAAGAAAUAAACCGGCUACUUAUUGCAAUUUAAAGAACCAGAAACAGUAGUGUGGCCAUCUCUGAGUCCUCGCAGCUUCAAACCAUCUAAGCUUAGGGAUUAUCUACACAGUUAGAAACGGGGUGAGUUUACGAAAACUCAGUGUGUAAUCCCAAUAACAAACAAACAGUGAAAACACAGUAUCAGUACAAUCUGGCCAAAGCCCUAUUUAGUCUUGGCAUAUACUGGGCCGAAGCCUUUUGUUUAACGGUUACUGGGCCGAAGCCUUAUCAUAAAUUAUAUUACUGGGCCGAAGCCUUUUCAUAAAUCAUAUCAUUGGGCCGAAGCCUUUACUGUAAACAGUAUGGCCCUUAGGCCCAUUUUAAUAUCACAUGUAAUGUCAAUGGAUGUAUGCAAGCCCAUUUGGGGAGACUACUCGACCCACCAUCCGCUACUCUCCACCCGUACCAACCAACACACCAUGUGGGGAAUGAUUCAACCCACCCAACCAACACACCACUGGCAGCAUAGCUGCUUUAUCAUAUAUUUGGAGGCCUAGCCUCUUUUAAUAACUGGGGCAAAGCCCUUUUGAUAAACUGGGGAAAAGCCCUUUUCGGUAAACUAGGGCAAAGCCCUUUUCGGUAAACUGGGGCAUAGCCCUUUUAGCACUUCCUCCAUUUACAAAACCCAACCCAUGCAACAUGUUAUGUAUGCAGAAUGUCAUGCCCAUAUUUGAAUCAAACAAUCACAGUCAAGUCAUUCAUAUCACCAACAUAUAUUCACAAUCAAUUCCGUCAACCACACAGUCCAAGUCAGUCACUUGCUCACAAGGGCAAAACAGUCAUUUUUCACAUUAUAAGGGUAAUUUCGUAAUUUUACCAAAUAUCAGGGUUUUCCAUGUUCAUCAACAUUAUCAAUAUUUCCGAGUGUUUAAACAAUGAUCUUUAACCCACUUUCUCAAACUCGGGCUUUUGGGCCCAAAACCUCUAAUGGGCCUUACGAAUGCUGAUUUAGCCCAUUAAGCCCACAUAAUCUAAAUUUUACAAAAGUACUAACCGUGUUAACAUGCAACUUUUCCAGAUUCCAUUUUCUAUCAGUUUAACCCAAAUGGGCCCGAAGCCCAUUGGGCCCAAUUUUAGCCCAUUGAGGCCUAAUUUACCAUCGUGCACAAAAUUGAGUUCUUACCUAUUCCAUUGAUCCAAACACCGAUCUUAUCGUAUUUAUCGUAUCUAUACCCAAACGCAACAGUACAAGUUCCUAAAAUACCGGUAUUUUAGCAUUUCGGCUUCUCAGCAAAUAUUAAUCUAAGCUAUUACGAGGGUUAGUACACACCUGUUAUGGGUUGAAGUUGAAACGUUUCCAAAAUCAAUCGCCUACGAUAACCACCACCUGUCACUCAAACUUAACUAAUCCAAUAUCAAUAUAUGUAAAUCCUAAGCACAUCAGUCAUACGGAACAUAAGGGCAUAUUCGUCAUUUUACCAUACAGGGGUAUUAUGGUCACUUUACCCUACAAGGGCUUUACAGUCUUUUUACCUAAUAAGGGUAUUUUAAUCAUUUCACCCUACAAGGGUGUUUUGGUAAAUCUACAAACCAAGGGUAUUUCAGUAAUUUUGUAAACCAAUGGUAUUUUUAUAAUUUUUAGAAAGUCAAGGGUAUUUCUGUAAUUUUGUAAAUCAGGGGUAUUUUGGUAAUUUUACAAAUUGAGGGUGUUUCGGUAAUUUCACAAACCAGUGGUAUUUUGGUAAUUUUACAAACUAGGGGUAUUUUGGUAAUUUUACAAACCAGGGGUAUUUUAGUAAUUUUACAGACUAAGGUAUUUUGGUAAUUUUACUGAUCGAGGGUAUUUUGGUAAUUUUGUAAACCAAGGGUAUUUUAGUAAUUUUUUAAAUCGAGGGUAAACAGUAAUUCUGUAAAUCAAGGGUAAAAUAAUAAUUCUAUAAAUCGAGGGUAAAACGGUAAUUCUGUAAAUCGAGGGUAAAACGGCAAUUCUAUAAAUCGAGGGUACUUUGGUAAUUUUGCAAGUCGAGGGUAUUUCAAUAAUUGGUAAACUAAAGUAUUCUAAACAUGGAUAACAAUACUAAUGGCCCUAAAGCCCAUUCUCGGCCCAAAUGGGCCCACCCGCUCGUGUGGCCCUUUUAUCCCAAAUCUAACCACAAAUAUUAGAUUCACCUAGCCUAGCCCAAUAUUUACUACACAAUCAAACAACUUAUCCAAUUAGGCCCGUAGGCCUAUUAGGCCCACAUGACCCCUUUCGGCCCAUCACGGCCCGAAGUAGCCAUCCUACAGCUAGAGUAGUAAGAAAUACAUACCUGAUAGGAGACUGGAGUUAAUCCACGCUCCGAGCACUCUUAGCCGGCGCCCAACCCAAACGAGCACGCCAUACAACGAAAGGGAUCAGCCAAGAAAGGUACCUCUACUCUCCUCAUGGUUCUCUCUAUUUAAAGCCAGCUUCGCAUCCCCUCUUAUGUUAGCUUCCCGAUGUGGGAUCCUUCCAACAUCAGAGUUUAAAUU
rnacentral:lncRNA from 1 species